rnacentral:tRNA from 1 species
GAGAGAGUGCAUGAAGCAAUGAAGACUGCUAAUCUUCACAACCCUAGUUAAAUUCCAGGGCUCACUCG